CCUAGAUCAAUAACAUCAGCAUCACCUGGGAGCUUGUUAGGAAUGCAGAUAAUCAGAUCUUAUACCUACUGACUCAAACUCUGGGAUUGAACCCCAGCCAUCUGAUUCCCUCCAGGUGAUUCUGAUGCCCACUGAAAUUUGGGAACUGGUGUAGGAAGAUAUUGAGUCUGUAGUCAGCCUCCUUUCUUAGGCAAGCAGCCUAAGCUCUCUGUGACAGAUAUUAGCAUCUGUAAAAUGGGAAUAACAAUAGAACUCACGUUAUGGGGUGUCUGAGCUUGAUCAGGAAGCUGACACCAACUAUGGGGAAAAGCUGAGGUUCCAAUGCCAGGAGAGCAUGGCUAAGUCUUUAAUCUGGAGGGGCUGAAGACAGAAACAGAAGCACGAUUUAUAGUAAGCAAGACAAGAGUGAGAGGGAAUGGUUUGGGACCAACUGGGGAGAUGGGGUGCCCUGAGAACUUGCCUUGGUGGGCCAUGGGGGCUUGACUCAGCACCUUUAUCAGUGCAGCCUAGGUGAGGACAGGUGGGGCUACGAGGAUGAAAUUCUAAAGGGCCAAAGUUUGGAGGGUAACGUCUUCCUCUGAGGCAGUGGAAGAACCUGCCGAUGGAGGGACCACAGAAGGAUCGUGGGAGAACAACGGGAACUGCAGGAGAGAUAGUAUUCUGUAAAAUCUCUGAAUUAACUCUGAGAAGCUGUUAGGAUCUGUGGAAGAUUAUGUGAAAAGAAACACACCAGCUGGAAGGUUUUCUGUUCAUGUCUGUGACAAGAUUAUAAUAAUGACUGGUUACCAUGAUUCACAGGGAUCUAGGGUUCUUUUGUGAUCUACCGUCUACCAGCUUCUACAUAAAUUAUGAAAAUUAGAUUGACUCUGCCAAGAAGGGAAAAGACCAGAGGAUUAGAAGCAUGAACAGUAGGUCUGGGUGAGGGGAUGGGAGGAAAGGAAGUCCCCCCUCCCCUGAAAAAAAUGGUAAGAACUUGGGAAAUGAAGGAGGGAAGACAUUCACCUGACUUUCAGAUUCAUGGCUUGAUCACCAAGUAUCGUAGGUUCACAUCCUUUCCGGCUGUUCAGAAGAACUCUAUCACAUCUGCCUGGGAGAGCAAUAAAGAGACUUGGUGGCAAAACACAACACAAGUAAUUGCUCAUCCUGUGCGAAAUGCCUUCCAUCCGCUCUGGGAAAACCUCCUUGUGGCAGGAAGAAGCCAGGUAGUAUGGAAUAAAAGGUGUGCUCUGCCUUGUCAGGGUGACUUAGGUGCUCAUCUGGGCUAUGAAACCCUCACUAAGAGCAGUGUUCAGCACAAGGCAGUCUGAUGCCUGGUGAAUGAUCCAUCACUUACAAGCUCAUCAAAGUUGCACCACUUCUGAGGGGCAGGAAGCCCCAGUAAGGUACCUGAGACAGUUCACAGAACACCACCCUGAUU
rnacentral:lncRNA from 1 species